rnacentral:rRNA from 1 species
AACGAACGCUGGCGGCAUGCCUAACACAUGCAAGUCGAACGAGAUCUUCGGGUCUAGUGUCGCACGGGUGCGUAACGCGUGGGAACCUGCCCUUAGGUCCGCAAUAACUCCCCGAAAGGGGCGCUAAUACCGGUUAAUGUCUUCGGACCAAAGAUUUAUCGCCUUUGGAUGGGCCCGCGUUGGAUUAGCUAGUUGGUAGGGUAAAAGCCUACCAAGGCGACGAUCCAUAGCUGGUCUGAGAGGAUGAUCAGCCACACUGGGACUGAGACACGGCCCAGACUCCUGCGGGAGGCAGCAGUGGGGGAUAUUGGACAAUGGGCGAAAGCCUGAUCCAGCAAUGCCGCGUGAGUGAUGAAGGCCUUAGGGUUGUAAAGCUCUUUUACCCGGGAUGAUAAUGACAGUACCGGGAGAAUAAGCUCCGGCUAACUCCGUG